rnacentral:misc_RNA from 1 species
GGAAGUAAGAGUCGUAACAAGGUUUCCGUAGGUGAACCUGCGGAAGGAUCAUUAUUGGAUUUUGAAACUUCAGGCUGCUGCUGGCUCUCCUCGGAGGGCAUGUGCACGCUUGUUGUCCAUUAUUUCUCCCACUGUGCACAAAUUGUAGACCUUUCAGUAGGCCUAUGUUGUUUUUCACAAUCUCUGAAUGUAAUAGAAUGGUUUUGAAUCUUGGGAAAUACAAUACAACUUUCAGCAACGGAUCUCUUGGCUCUC